GACGAACGCUGGCGGCGUGCUUAACACAUGCAAGUCGAACGAAGUGGCGAACGGGUGAGUAACGCGUAAUCAACCUGCCCUUCAGAGGGGGACAACAGUUGGAAACGACUGCUAAUACCGCAUACUGAAGGCGGGGAUUGCGUCUGAAUAGCUAGUUGGGGGGGUAACGUCCCACCAAUGCGAUGAUCAGUAGCCGGACUGAGGAGAUGAACGGCCACAUUGGUAAUGAGACACGGCCCAAACUCCUACGGGAAGCAGCAGUGGGGAAUCUUCCGCAAUGGACGAAAGUCUGACGGAGCAACGCCGCGUGAGUGAUGACGGCCUUCGGGUUGUAUAGCUCUGUUUAUCGGGACGCGGUACCGGAAUAGAAAGCCACGGCUAACUACGUGCCAGCAGCCGCGGUAAUUC
rnacentral:rRNA from 1 species